CAGAAUAAAUAAACCAAUUUAUUAACUACAAAGAUAGAUUUUAAGUGAUAUUAAGUGAUAGGCAAAAAGUCAGAGUGGUUACCAAAAUAAAAUAAAAUAUAAGCACACAGUCUAAACUCUCAACCCUAUUAGACUGGGCGGCAACUAGAUUAAGCACCCACACACACACACACACACACUAGAUAUUGCAGUCCUUAAUAUACAGAUUUGUUCCUUAAACCUGGGCCAGUCUCCUCUGUUGGAGUCUUCUUCUCAGUGUCUUGGUUGCUUGCAGCAAAGGUAGGAGCAGGAGAAGGGCCCAGUAUGUGUCUAUUCUGUCUGUUUUAUACCCUCAGUUCACAUUCUUGGGGAGCACAAGUCCAGGCAUGCCAAGGGGGCAUUGCUGAAUCUCUCCAAGCAUGGUUGAGCAGUUCCCCUGGUGAGGCCUUAUGCAGAAAACCACGGAUUCUUGCUCACUACCAACACUGUGCGUAUGGUGAUACAAAGUAAGGAGACAAUAGGCUCAUCCACUCUGUGAAUAGAAACAGUACCAUGUGUCCUGGGAGUCCAAACAAAGCUAACCAAUGCAGCUGGAAGGAGGAAGAUGAUUUAAGAGGAAGACUUGUUUGAUGGGUAAGGCUCUGGACUGGCCUUGAAGAGACUAGUAUAUAAUGCCUGGCUCGGCCACUGACUUUUGUUCAACAUCUUUGUUGACCUUUGUUCCACAUCUUCAUUAAUGAUCUGGAUGAUGGGAUGGAUUGCACCCUCAGCAAGUUUGUGGAUGACACUAAACUUAGGGGAGAGGUAGAUAUGCUGGAGGGUAGGGAUAGGGUCCAGAGUGACCCAGACAAGUUGAAGGAUUGGGCUAAAAGAAAUCUGAUGAGGUUCAACAAGGACAAGUACCAAGUCCUGCACUUAUGACGAAAGAAUCCCAUGCACUGCUACAGGCUGGGGCUAAGCAGCAGUUCUGCAGAAAAGGACCUGGGGAUUACAGUGGAUGAGAAGCUGGGUAUGCGUCAACAGUGUGCCCUUGUUGCCAAGAAGGUUAACGGCACAUUGGGCUGCAUUAGUAGUAGCAUUGCCAGUAGAUUGAGGGAAGUGAUUAUUUGGUAUUGGUGAGGCCACAUCUGGAGUACUGUGUCCAGUUUUGGGCCUCCCACUACAGAAAGGAUGUGGACAAAUUGGAGACAGUCCAGCAGAGGGCAACAAAAAUUAUUAGGGGGCUGGGGCACAUGACUUCCGAGGACAUGCUGAGGGAACUGGGCUUGUUUAGUCUGCAGAAGAGAAGAGUGAGGCGGGAUUUGAUAGCAGCCUUCAACUACCUGAGGGUGGGUUCCAAAGAGGAUGGAGCUAGGCUGUUCUCAGUGUUGGCAGAUGACAGAACAAGGAGUAAUGGUCUCAAGUUGCAGUGGGGGAGGUCUAGGCUGGAUAUUAGGAAACACUAUUUCACUACGAGGGUGGUGAAGCACUGGAAUGGGUUACCUAGGGAGGUGGUGGAAUCUCCAUCCUUAGAGGUUUUUAAGGCCCGGCUUGACAAAGCCCUGGCUGGGAUGAUUUAGUUGGGGCUGGUCCUGCUUAGAGCAUGGGGUUGGACUAGAUGACCUCCUGAGGUCCCUUCCAACCCUGAUAUUCCAUGAUUCUCUGUGAACUUGGGCAAGUUGCUUAACCACUUCAUUGUAAAAUGUGGAUAGUAAUCUUUCCCUAACUCACAGGGAAGUUGUGAGGAUAGAUUCACUGUGGGUUGGGAGACCAUAUAAAUAGAAGAUUAGCUUGAAUAUUGAAUACCAGCAAUGAACUGCUCACAAAUGAUCUACAGACCAAGAAUUAUUGGGCAAAUUCCUUUCUCUACAUAAUUCUGAAUAAUGAAUAAAUUUGAGGAAGUUGCUAGCUGCCUCUCGGAACUUAAUGAAUAAGAAAAGAGGCAAAAUUCCUUGAGUAACAUCUACAUAUUUGCUAGUGGUAAAUUCUCGCCUCAGAUCUGCAUGACAGCUUACGGGUUUGAUCCUGUUACUC